AUGCCUCUCAUUUUGUGGAAGUCUAGUUUAUGUCCACAGCAUUUUCUUUUUUCUUUGAAAGAGAACAUUGCUGCCCAGACUCAAAACCAGUUUGUGACUUUCCUGCUGCCAAGUAUCAGGUGUCUAAAUCCUGGGUACAUGCACCCCUCCAGUCAGUUUCUCAUAGCAGCCAGGCAAACUGAGGUGGAGAAAAACUUUGAAUAUAUGAAAGAAGACACUUCUAAGAGUGAUGAUGAACAUGACUUGAAAAUAGCAGGCCUUUCCUCAACACAUGGCAGAGCAAACAUGGUUGGUAUCUAUGUUAAGAAGAGGCAGUGUGGAAAUCACACUUAUUUGACAAGAUAAGAAAGUCCUAAAAUAUAACAACUGAGUAUCUUAUGUUUUCAUAUUGAUGUGCAAGUGGUGACUAAUUCAUGUUUUUUAUUUAUACACCUAAUAUGCACAAGCAUCUAAUUAGCUGAAAGCAAAC
rnacentral:lncRNA from 1 species